rnacentral:rRNA from 1 species
GACGAACGCUGGCGGCGUGCCUAAAACGUGCAAGUCGAACGGGGGAGCAAUCCCCAGUGGCGAACGGCGGAGUAAUACAUGAACAACGUGCCCUGAAGACCGGGAUAGUCAGUGGAAACGCUGGGUAAUACCGGAUGUGGCCGUCUUGUGGCAUCACGAGACGAUUAAAUGGUUUUUCGCUUCAGGAGCGGUUCAUGGCCUAUCAGGUAGUUGGUGAGGUAACGGCUCACCAAGCCGACGACGGGUAGCGGGUCUGAGAGGACGAUCCGCUCGAGUGGGACUGAGACACGGCCCACA